AUGAACGCUAGCUACAGGCUUAACACAUGCAAGUCGAGGGGCAGCAUGGUCUUAGCUUGCUAAGGCCGAUGGCGACCGGCGCACGGGUGAGUAACACGUAUCCAACCUGCCGUCUACUCUUGGACAGCCUUCUGAAAGGAAGAUUAAUACAAGAUGGCAUCAUGAGUCCACAUGUUCACAUGAUUAAAGGUAUUCCGGUAGACGAUGGGGAUGCGUUCCAUUAGAUAGUAGGCGGGGUAACGGCCCACCUAGUCUUCGAUGGAUAGGGGUUCUGAGAGGAAGGUCCCCCACAUUGGAACUGAGACACGGUCCAAACUCCUACGGGAGGCAGCAGUGAGGAAUAUUGGUCAAUGGGCGAGAGCCUGAACCAGCCAAGUAGCGUGAAGGAUGACUGCCCUAUGGGUUGUAAACUUCUUUUGUAAAGGAAUAAAGUCGGGUAUGGAUACCCGUUUGCAUGUACUUUAUGAAUAAGGAUCGGCUAACUCCGUGCCAGCAGCCGCGGUAAUACGGAGGAUCCGAGCGUUAUCCGGAUUUAUUGGGUUUAAAGGGAGCGUAGAUGGAUGUUUAAGUCAGUUGUGAAAGUUUGCGGCUCAACCGUAAAAUUGCAGUUGAUACUGGAUAUCUUGAGUGCAGUUGAGGCAGGCGGAAUUCGUGGUGUAGCGGUGAAAUGCUUAGAUAUCACGAAGAACUCCGAUUGCGAAGGCAGCCUGCUAAGCUGCAACUGACAUUGAGGCUCGAAAGUGUGGGUAUCAAACAGGAUUAGAUACCCUGGUAGUCCACACGGUAAACGAUGAAUACUCGCUGUUUGCGAUAUACGGCAAGCGGCCAAGCGAAAGCGUUAAGUAUUCCACCUGGGGAGUACGCCGGCAACGGUGAAACUCAAAGGAAUUGACGGGGGCCCGCACAAGCGGUGGAGCAUGUGGUUUAAUUCGACGCAACGCGAAGAACCUUACCAAGGCUUGACAUUGAUUGAACGCUCUAGAGAUAGAGCUUUCCCUUCGGGGACAAGAAAACAGGUGGUGCAUGGCUGUCGUCAGCUCGUGUCGUGAGAUGUUGGGUUAAGUCCCGCAACGAGCGCAACCCCUGUUUCUAGUUGCCAGCAUGUAAAGAUGGGAACUCUAGAAAGACUGCCGUAGAUAAUACGGAGGAAGGUGGGGAUGACGUCAAAUCAUCAUGCCCUUUAUGUCCUGGGCUACACACGUACUACAAUGGUCGGCAACAGAGGGAAGCGAAGCCGCGAGGCAGAGCAAACCCCAGAAACCCGAUCUCAGUUCGGAUCGCAGGCUGCAACCCGCCUGCGUGAAGUCGGAAUCGCUAGUAAUCGCAGGUCAGCAUACUGCGGUGAAUACGUUCCCGGGCCUUGUACACACCGCCCGUCACACCAUGAGAGUUGGGGAUACCCGAAGCCUGUGAGCCAACAGUUAAAUGGGGCAGCAGUCGAAGGUAGAAUCAAUGAUUGGGGUG
rnacentral:rRNA from 1 species